rnacentral:rRNA from 1 species
ACGGGGGGGGCAAGCGUUGUUCGGAAUUACUGGGCGUAAAGGGCGCGUAGGCGGCAAAUUAAGUCAGCUGUGAAAUCUCCGAGCUUAACUCGGAACGGUCAGCUGAUACUGAUCUGCUAGAGUGCGGAAGGGGCAAUCGGAAUUCUUGGUGUAGCGGUGAAAUGCGUAGAUAUCAAGAGGAACACCUGAGGUGAAGACGGGUUGCUGGGCCGACACUGACGCUGAGUGCGCGAAAGCCAGGGGAGCAAACGGGA